UACGUAGGGAGCAAGCGUUGUCCGGAAUCAUUGGGCGUAAAGCGCGCGUAGGUGGCCUCAUAAGUCCGUUGUGAAAGUCAAAGGCUCAACCUUUGAAAGCCGAUGGAUACUGUGAGACUAGAGUACGGAAGAGGCGAGUGGAAUUCCAGGUGUAGCGGUGAAAUGCGUAGAUAUCUGGAGGAACACCGGUGGCGAAGGCGGCAUCCUGGACCGGCAUUGACGCUGAGGCGCGAAAGCCAGGGGAGCAAACGGG
rnacentral:rRNA from 1 species